rnacentral:lncRNA from 13 species
UGAACAACUGCUGGAGAUGUAGGUUUAUUGUCUCCUUCUCCUUUCUGUGUCAUUUUGCAGGAAGUCACACAGCUCUACUGUGCACUUCAGCAGGGGAGAGGUAUGCUGUGGCUGCAGGGAGUUCAUGCUCUUCCAGCAAGCCAAGCUGGGGUCACCUUGAUUCCACCUCCAUCUCAGGACAAAAAGGGAGGUGCAUUAAGAUGAAAAUAUUAUUUUGUGGAAGUUUCAGUGUGUUGUCCUGGACUCAGUGGAAGAGACAAAAGUCCGGGAGAAGGGCUGCCUGCCUUUUUUAUCUAGCCUGCCAAGGGGCACAGACAGGAGAAUGUAGAUGGAGCUUCUCCUCCCACUUUCAGGACAGAAAAUCAAAGCAGAUCUAGAUGGAGAAGCAGAAGAAGGUGAAAAAACUUCUUUUCCUUUCCUCCUUUCUUUAUUCCUCUUCCCUUUUUUAAACAUCUAGUCUCCUUGAACUGAAGAACUGAUGUUUUUAUCUCCAUUUUUUUCUCCACUCCAUCAUGCAAAGAGUUAUUCCAAAAUCACUUGGCAGCUGUAAGACAAGCUAUUUCCUAACCCUCAAAAUAACUUUUGUUUUGAAUAGUUCCCAACUCCUUAAAAAUGCAUCCACAUGUAUGCAUGUUUUGCAUGGGAAAGAAAACUUACAGAAGUAAAUAUUCAUGGUUAAUGACUAUUAAAAUCCUGCUACAAUCAUUAUUAAAUUUGGGCUCAUUCUGUGUGGAAAGCCGUAUGUAUUAAUCAGUAUGUAUUUGUGAUGUAAACUGUGCAAACACUAAGGAAAGAAGCAAUCCUAACCCCAAAUUUCUACCAUCUAGACAGAAAGGGUGAGUCUGUUAGACCCUCAGGUUCAAAAUGGGGAAGGGAAUAUUUUUCCUUGCUACAGUCUGAAACGGCCUUUUAAAUACUUUUUGGCUACCAGCCACAUAAACAGAAACACCAAGGCUGGCAUACACAAUACAAAAUAAAACCUUGGGGGUGCAAUUUGCCCAGUUUUGUUUGACAGCCUCAUUUCACUAACCAGCUGAGGGUCAGUGUAUGUUGUUGAACACUUCUAUUACCUUUCAUCUGCUCAUAGGCUGCUUGAGCACAGACUUGCCAGGGGCUUUCUUCCUAGCACUGGUCCGUAGUAAGUUCAGUAACUUCCUUUACACUGUGGUUGUAACCAAUCCUUGCCACUCUCAUAAAAACAGAGACAACUUUGGUAUUCACCUCUGAAAAUUC